UUUAAUUAAAUAUAUGUUUGAUUCAAAAGAUGGGGAGGGAAAUAGAGAGAAGUUUUAAUCAAAAAGUAUGUUUGAUUCAUAAGGGGAGGAGAGGGAUUUUAAAACUAUUUUAUCUUUUUACUCUUAAAAUAGUAUAACAUUUAUGCUAAAUAAAAUAAUAUUCAAAAAAUAAUAAUUGUUAAUUCAUAAACAACAUAGAUAAUCAAACACAAAAUAUUUAAUAUUUUAAAUAAAAAUAUAUU
rnacentral:lncRNA from 1 species